rnacentral:rRNA from 1 species
UACGGAGGGGGCUAGCGUUGUUCGGAAUUACUGGGCGUAAAGCGCACGUAGGCGGCUUCUUAAGUCAGGGGUGAAAUCCUGGAGCUCAACUCCAGAACUGCCUUUGAUACUGAGGAGCUCGAGUCCGGGAGAGGUGAGUGGAACUGCGAGUGUAGAGGUGAAAUUCGUAGAUAUUCGCAAGAACACCAGUGGCGAAGGCGGCUCACUGGCCCGAUACUGACGCUGAGGUGCGAAAGCGUGGGGAGCAAACAGG